AGUACAUUUUGAAAGGUUGUAUUCUGAAGAGCCUGAAUUGAAAAUUGAAUCAGAGAACAAGCCAGAAGUCAUUUAUAUAUCAUCUGAUAGUGAAACUGAAGAUCUGCCAAAGGAUGAAUUAUUUGCAGGAAGUGUUUUAAUGAAAAAAGAAAAACAAGAACAGUGUGAAGAAACAGCUGACAGUUUCCUUGGUCUAAGCAAGCAUGGAAAAUCUAAAAAA